rnacentral:rRNA from 1 species
UACAGAGGGGGCAAGCGUUGUUCGGAAUUACUGGGCGUAAAGGGCGCGUAGGCGGCCUGUUAAGUCGAACGUGAAAUCCCCGGGCUCAACCCGGGAACUGCGUCCGAUACUGGCAGGCUUGAAUUCGGGAGAGGGAUGCGGAAUUCCAGGUGUAGCGGUGAAAUGCGUAGAUAUCUGGAGGAACGCCGGUGGCGAAAGCGGCCCGCUGGACCUCUUCUGACGCUGAGGCGCGAAAGCCAGGGAGCAAACGGG